rnacentral:rRNA from 1 species
GCCGCGUGUGUGAAGAAGGCCUUCGGGUUGUAAAGCACUUUCAGUCAGGAGGAAAGGGUGUGAGUUAAUACCUCAUAUCUGUGACGUUACUGACAGAAGAAGCACCGGCUAACUCCGUGCCAGCAGCCGCGGUAAUACGGAGGGUGCGAGCGUUAAUCGGAAUUACUGGGCGUAAAGCGUACGCAGGCGGUUUGUUAAGCGAGAUGUGAAAGCCCCGGGCUCAACCUGGGAACUGCAUUUCGAACUGGCAAACUAGAGUGUGAUAGAGGGUGGUAGAAUUUCAGGUGUAGCGGUGAAAUGCGUAGAGAUCUGAAGGAAUACCGAUGGCGAAGGCAGCCACCUGGGUCAACACUGACGCUCAUGUACGAAAGCGUGGGGAGCAAACGGGAUUAGAUACCCCGGUAGUCCACGCCGUAAACGAUGUCUACUAGAAGCUCGGAACCUCGGUUCUGUUUUUCAAAGCUAACGCAUUAAGUAGACCGCCUGGGGAGUACGGCCGCAAGGUUAAAACUCAAAUGAAUUGACGGGGGCCCGCACAAGCGGUGGAGCAUGUGGUUUAAUUCGAUGCAACGCGAAGAACCUUACCUACACUUGACAUACAGAGAACUUUCUAGAGAUAGAUUGGUGCCUUCGGGAACUCUGAUACAGGUGCUGCAUGGCUGUCGUCAGCUCGUGUUGUGAGAUGUUGGGUUAAGUCCCGCAACGAGCGCAACCCCUAUCCUUAGUUGCUAGCAGGUAAUGCUGAGAACUCUAAGGAGACUGCCGGUGAUAAACCGGAGGAAGGUGGGG